rnacentral:rRNA from 1 species
AUUGAACGCUGGCGGCAGGCCUAACACAUGCAAGUCGAGCGGAGCGGCGGACGGGUGAGUAAUGCCUAGGAAUCUGCCUGGUAGUGGGGGAUAACGUCCGGAAACGGGCGCUAAUACCGCAUACUAUCAGAUGAGCCCAUGAGGGAUUAGGUAGUUGGUGGGGUAAUGGCCUAGCAAGCCGACGAUACCGAGCUAGUCUGAGAGGAUGACCAGCCACACAGGGACUGAGAGACGGCCCGGACUCCUACGGAAGGCAACAGUGGGAAAGAUGGCACAAUGGGGGCAACCCUGACGCAGCCAUACCGCGUGAAUGAAGAAGGCCUUCGGGUUGUAAAGUGCUUUCGGUGACGAGGCGUUAAUCACAGAAGAAGCACCGGCUAACUCCGUGCCAGCAGCCGCGGUAAUUC